rnacentral:rRNA from 1 species
UACGUAGGGUGCAAGCGUUAAUCGGAAUUACUGGGCGUAAAGCGUGCGCAGGCGGUGAUGUAAGACAGUUGUGAAAUCCCCGGGCUCAACCUGGGAACUGCAUCUGUGACUGCAUCGCUGGAGUACGGUAGAGGGGAUGGAAUUCCGCGUGUAGCAGUGAAAUGCGUAGAUAUGCGGAGGAACACCGAUGGCGAAGGCAAUCCCCUGGACCUGUACUGACGCUCAUGCACGAAAGCGUGGGGAGCAAACGAGG